UUUAACUGGGGCGGUUGCCUCCUAAAUUGUAACGGAGGCGCCCAAAGGUUCCCUCAAUCCGAAUAAAAGUCGGAUGUUGAGUGUAAGAGCAGAAGGGAGCUUGACUGCGAGACCGACAGGUCAAGCAGAAACGAAAGUUGGGUCUAGUGAUCCGGUGAUUCCGAGUGGAAGGAUCAUCGCUCAACGGAUAAAAGCUACCCCGGGGAUAACAGGCUAGUCUUCCCCAAGAGUUCACAUCGACGGGAAGGUUCGGCACCUCGCUGUCGGCUCGUCACAUCCUGGGGCUGGAGUAGGUCCCAAGGGUUGGGCUGUUCGCCCAUUAAAGCGGCACGCGAGCUGGGUUUAGAACGUCGUGAGACAGUUCGGUCCCUAUCCGCCGCGCGCGCAGGAAUCUUGAGGAAAUCUGACCCUAGUACGAGAGGACCGGGCUGGACGAACCUCUGGUGUGUGAGUUGUUCUGCCAAGAGCACUGCUCAUUAGCUACGUUCGGAAGGGAUAACCGCUGAAAGCAUCUAAGCGGGAAACCCGUUCCAAGAUAAGGAUUCCCACCGGGUUAACCGGGUAAGGCCCCCAGCUAGAUGACUGGGUUGAUAGGCCGGACGUGGAAGUGCAGCAAUGCACGGAGCUGACCGGUACUAAUAGGCCGAGGACUUGCCUUU
rnacentral:rRNA from 1 species